UACGGGGGGAGCAAGCGUUGUUCGGAUUUACUGGGCGUAAAGGGCGCGUAGGCGGCCACCGCAAGUCGGUUGUGAAAUCUCCGGGCUUAACCCGGAAAGUCAAUCGAUACUGCGGGGCUAGAGUGCAGAAGGGGCAACUGGAAUUCUCGGUGUAGCGGUGAAAUGCGUAGAUAUCGAGAGGAACACCUGCGGCGAAGGCGGGUUGCUGGGCUGACACUGACGCUGAAGCGCGAAAGCUAGGGGAGCGAACGGG
rnacentral:rRNA from 1 species